rnacentral:ncRNA from 1 species
UAAGGGUUUGGUUCUUUCCCUUUUAAUUUGCGUUUUAAUUGAUUUAUAUGGAAGUUUUAGCGGGAUAUUAAUUUUUUUCUAAAUGAAUAAUUUGAUAUUAUCUCAGUUUAUAGCAUUAAAUAAUUAAGGUAACUUAGAUUUGGCUUAAAUAUAUAAAAUUAACAAAGUUUGUGCCAGCAGUUGCGGUUAUACAAAUCAUUUUGAGUAAAUUUUUAUUGGUUUAUAUUUAUUUUUAUUUUUAUUAUAAAUUUUGGGUGUUAUUUGGUGGAAUAAUUAAUUCUUAUUAUUAUAUAAGUUUAAGAUUAUAUAUUAAAUCUAUAUUAUAGACUAGGAUUAGAUACCCUAUUAUUAUUAGUUGUAAAUUAAUAACCAUAAUAUUAAUAGUUAUAUUCUUUAAAUUAAAAGAACUUGGCGGUAAUUUAAUCUUUCCAGAGGAACCUGUCCUUUAAUUGAUAUUCCACGAAGUAUAUUACUUUAAUUUUAAGCUUGUAUACCUCUGUUGAUGAAUGUUUUGUAAGAAUAUUUUCUAUGUUUAAUUUUAUAUUUAAUGUUAGGUCAAGGUGCAGCAAUAUUAAAGUAGUGAUGGGUUACAUUAUUAAUAUAUUUGGAUUAGUAAAUUGAUAUUUAUUAUGAAAUAGGAUUUGGUAGUAAUUUCUUUUAUCUAUUAGGGUUGAUUUUUGCUCUAGAUUAUGUACAUAUCGCCCGUCACUCUCGUUUAUAUACGGGAUAAGUCGUAACAAAGUAGACUUAUCGGAAGAUGAGUCUGGAUUGAG